UCCUGAGAGAAGCAGGUCUCUGGCAGAUGUUUAUUGUGGGUUUUCAAACAUGAAAUUCCUUGUCUAUUUAGCUCCAGGGAUUUUUAUUUUUAUUUUUCUCUGAUUAACCUUCUGGACUUUUUAAAGGCAUUAUUUUCCAGGGCCAGCCCUACCAUUAGGCAGAGUGAGGUGGUAAUCUCAGGCAGCUAGUUGUGGAUGUCAUGAAAAAGCUGCAAAUUGUAAGUUAUUAAAUUUAAUAUGAUUGCGCUUUUCCUCCCAGGCAGAGGCAUUUGUUAUACAUUCUGCUUCAGGUGCCAAAAAUAACUUGGUCAGCCCUGGGUACAAUACAACUGACUGGUGGGGUAGUGAUUUGCUCGUCUGCCUCAGAUGGCAAAAUGCUGGGUCUGUUUGUUUCUUAUUUGUGUUUAUGAAAGGGAGGGAAGGAUUGAGAUGCACCUUGUUGGGCAUAUCCAAGAAGGAAUGAGCUGAAGGGAGAUGAUAGUAUAUUUGAGUUGUAUAUACUUUGAUACAUAUAAGGAAAUUGAUUAAAAAAACUGAAUCGCUCUCUCUUUGUACAAUUAUUUUCCUUUCUGGAGAGAAUGACCACUGGAGCUACACACAAUGGGUAUAGCAUGCAAAUUUAAUGCCACCUACCAUGACUGACUAACAGCUUUGGCAUAGAUUAAUGUCUCCCAUAAAAUUCACCCUCUCCAGUUCAUGUUUUUUGUAUAAGGAGUCUGCUACAGCUAACAAAACAGAUAUGAAAGCAGCAUCUUUGGACCUUGAAACUAGAAAUGAUGAACCAGCUUAUGGCUUUGUCUCAGAACAAUUCUGAAAACACAAUUCAAAGCUUUGAAUGGUUAAUUCAUGGUGGACUGAAGCAUCACAUGUCUGAAGAAUGCAGGAAGUCUGGUACCCAGAAUUCAGUUAUGACUUCAGAAGGAACAAUUGUCUCUGUGUACCUAAUUGAUUACUUUUAACAUGCUUCUGAAAGACUGUGGGUGGUAGGCCUGUUAUUGCUUACAGACACACCCCAUCUAAAACAGCUACCAUUCUCAAUAACAGAGACAUGUGUACAAGGACCAGACUUUGCAACAAACCCAGAUGCCAACCCUUCCAUUGUGUCAGAUUAUUGGUCCAUCUAGAACAGUCCAUCUAGAACACUGAUUGGCAGCCACUGUCCAGGAUUUUUGAUUUGAGUAUAAAUAAAGACAAUAUUUCCCUUUCCAACUACAGAAGUUAACUCAGCAGUGCCAAGUUGAUUUAUCGCUCGUAACUGUUAUUGUAAAAAGUCACUGUAGUUAUUUUACAUAAAUUCUAGGUCUCAUUCAAUUGUCA